ensembl:lncRNA
GAGCGUGCGAUGUGAACGUGGCUGGUACCCUCUGGGUGGAGAAGCAGCAGCAGCAGCAGGGUUUAUCUGCUUAAGACACAUUCCAUUGAGCGUGCAGUGUGAACGUGGCAGGUACCCUCUGGGUGGAGAAGCAGCAGCAGCAGGAGGAGGUGAGGUGACCAGCAGGUAACCACUGAGUCUUGUCUGAUUGUCUGAGAAGCGGUCAGCCUGUGAUGAACUUUUUCUGACACCUCGUAUGAGUACUUUUUCACUACUUGAUUAUAAGGAAUAAUCUGAGACUGACCUGAGUAUCUUGGGCAGGAGGUUGCCUCUUUAGGCCGUGACUAACGCUGCAUGUUUUUAUUUAUUUUUUUUUUACAGGGCUUGUCUGCUUAAGACACACAUUCCAUUGUAAGUGUUCUCACCCUUUUUGCUGAUCAGUGUACAGUUUCCUUCUCAGUCAAGUGUUACACUGAGCCAGCGAUAUCCCUGCAAAAUAUUCCAACAACUCAUAUGAUGGCUGUUUACCAGCAUCUGACUUAUGUGAUCUGAAGGUCCUUGUUGACAGAUCUCUAAAUUUCUAGUAAACUGAAACUAUGGGACAACGGGUAUCUUACAGGUUAGAGCCAUUACCUCUGGUUUCAGAGUGGGCAGGUUUAAAUUGCAUUUCUGUCUAUAAUAUCCUUGAGAGGCAUUUCCCCUAAACUGGUUCAGUAAAAAUUUAUGGUAUGUCUAUGGUAACUCAUAAGCAGGCUGAUAUUGUAAGUCACUUUAAAGACAGUUGUAGAACUUCAAUUUUCUUUUGUCUUGCAGAGGUAAAAUGGUGAUGAGCCAUGCUGGAGUCUACUGGUGCGUUUAAUCGGCCGAAAGUGCAGGUUUCCAUUGAAACAGAAGAUGGUGCCAUUUGCUUUAUGCUCAAGGGAAGUGGGGAGCUGCAGCAGUGUGAUUCGCUUAACUGGCUCAUCCAGUGCAUCACUGUUACAUCACACUAUUGGGGAAGACAGUUGGAUGAAACGGAGAGCUGACUGUGGUUGGCCACGUCGGUGCUGGAGAGAGCUCGCUGUCCCAUGGUGCACCUCUGAAAUGCCUCAAGCAGCUACGCCGGUGCUUGCAGAAGCCAUCCUCUUUGUGUGCCGCUACCCCUUAGUCUGCGCUCGGUGCCUUUGGUCCAGCCGUAAUGCCCGUUAAGAGCACACAAAAUCAAAUCAGAUCGUCUGAAAGCCCUCGUCUGCCAUUAACUGCGUUCGUGUCCUUGAGGAGUUUCACCCCUGAGCCAUUAGACGAGCAAGGAUGACCCCCUCAGCAAGUCUGACCUGAACGGUGGAGCCAUAAGGAGACGCUCCCUCAAAUGCCCCAUUAAGAUGUCCCGCGGUAUGGCUUUGUGCUCAAACACAGAGAAAAGAGACGACCGUGAAGCUUCUUUGCUCGGGAACAAAAGGAGAUGGUAGGACAAAAAAGAUGUGGUAAGGAUAUGGGGGAAUUAAGGGCUUGGUGCCCAUUUCGAUAAACGUGUCAGGCUGCAUAAAACUGACAGUAUCUCACCCAUGUUAUUCCCUAAAUAAAAAUGCUGUUUUAUCACUGCUUCUGGCA